rnacentral:rRNA from 1 species
GACGAACGCUGGCGGCGUGCCUAAUACAUGCCAGUAGAACGCUGAAGAGAGGAGCUUGCUCUUCUUGGAUGAGUUGCGAACGGGUGAGUAACGCGUAGGUAACCUGCCUUGUAGCGGGGGAUAACUAUUGGAAACGAUAGCUAAUACCGCAUAACAAUGGAUGACACAUGUCAUUUAUUUGAAAGGGGCAAUUGCUCCACUACAAGAUGGACCUGCGUUGUAUUAGCUAGUAGGUGAGGUAAUGGCUCACCUAGGCGACGAUACAUAGCCGACCUGAGAGGGUGAUCGGCCACACUGGGACUGAGACACGGCCCAGACUCCUACGGGAGGCAGCAGUAGGGAAUCUUCGGCAAUGGGGGCAACCCUGACCGAGCAACGCCGCGUGAGUGAAGAAGGGUGUCGGAUCGUAAAGCUCUGUUGUAAGUCAAGAACGGGUGUGAGAGUGGAAAGUUCACACUGUGACGGUAGCUUACCAGAAAGGGACGGCUAACUACGUG